GACGAACGCUGGCGGCGUGCCUAAUACAUGCAAGUUGAGCGCUGAAGGAUGGUACUUGUACCAACUGGAUGAGCAGCGAACGGGUGAGUAACGCGUGGGGAAUCUGCCUUUUAGCGGGGGACAACAUUGGGAAACGAAUGCUACUACCGCAUAAAAACUUUAAACACAAGUUUUAAGUUUGAAAGAUGCAAUUGCAGCACUCAAAGAUGAUCCCGCGUUGUAUUAGCUAGUUGGUGAGGUAAAGGCUCACCAAGGCGAUGAUACAUAGCCGACCUGAGAGGGUGAUCGGCCACAUUGGGACUGAGACACGGCCCAAACUCCUACGGGAGGCAGCAGUAGGGAAUCUUCGGCAAUGGACGAAAGUCUGACCGAGCCAAGCCGCGUGAGUGAAGAAGGUUUUCGGAUCGUAAAACUCUGUUGGUAGAGAAGAAAGUGGGUGAGAGUGGAAAGCUCAUGAAGUGACGGUAACUACCCAGAAAGGGACGGCUAACUACGUG
rnacentral:rRNA from 1 species